GGUGGGGUAACGGCUCACCUAGGCGACGAUCCCUAGCUGGUCUGAGAGGAUGACCAGCCACACUGGAACUGAGACACGGUCCAGACUCCUACGGGAGGCAGCAGUGGGGAAUAUUGCACAAUGGGCGCAAGCCUGAUGCAGCCAUGCCGCGUGUAUGAAGAAGGCCUUCGGGUUGUAAAGUACUUUCAGCGGGGAGGAAGGGAGUAAAGUUAAUACCUUUGCUCAUUGACGUUACCCGCAGAAGAAGCACCGGCUAACUCCGUGCCAGCAGCCGCGGUAAUACGGAGGGUGCAAGCGUUAAUCGGAAUUACUGGGCGUAAAGCGCACGCAGGCGGUUUGUUAAGUCAGAUGUGAAAUCCCCGGGCUCAACCUGGGAACUGCAUCUGAUACUGGCAAGCUUGAGUCUCGUAGAGGGGGGUAGAAUUCCAGGUGUAGCGGUGAAAUGCGUAGAGAUCUGGAGGAAUACCGGUGGCGAAGGCGGCCCCCUGACGAAGACUACGCUCAGUCAAAGCG
rnacentral:rRNA from 2 species